UCCGGCAUGGUCUAGUGGUUAGGAUACCUGGCUCUCACCCAGGAGGCCCGGGUUCGAUUCCCGGUGUCGGAA
rfam:Ixodes scapularis strain Wikel colony gcontig_1108379705426, whole genome shotgun sequence.